GAUUAGGGGUUGUAAAGCUGUGAUACUCUCAGUGUCCACUAGGAUGUAAGGAUUCUUCAGUGGAUUCCUCCUCAAUCAACACUUCAGUAGGAUGCUCAGCUCCUUCUUCUUCCAUGGAAUUUAACUCUUUAACCUUGCAUUGGUGGCCAGGAAGAAACUUAUCUCCACAUUUAAAACAUAGGUUAUCGGUUUUUCUGUACUCCAUGAUAUUAUGUCUGUUAGGAACAAUAGGUGGUGGGGUCAUGUUAGGUCUAGGUGUGGUAGAGUUUGUGGUAGGAUAGGCUUUUGUAUAUGUAGAGGAAGAGUUCGGUUGGAAAAUUUAGGUUUUUAUUUUUUUGCUUCAAGUUCCAUGGAAAGUUCAUGAAGUUUAGCGUGUUGAAAGGCAAUAGACAAAGAUGAAGGUUCAUUCACCUUAAGUCUAACUUUGGCUUCUUCGUCAGUCCACUCACAAAACUGGACACAAAAUACUCUUCAUUUAAGUGCAAAUUAUACUGGAGCAUGAAAGACCUCAAGUCUUCAAAUUUUUCUUGGUAGUCCUCCACUGAUCCUCUUUGUGUCAACUUGUUAAAUUCUUCCACCACAUCAAGGCAGGUUCUAUCACAAAACCUGAGAUACAAAUCAUUGGCAAACUCCAUCUUGUCAAAUUGUCUUUCUGUAGUCUCUACCUUCUAAUGUUCUUCCAUUGAAAAUAAGUUGAAGUACUUUUUACACUUCAUAUCCACGCUCAAGGAUUUGCUCCAUUAAAGUUCUGUAAUUCGAUUUUUGGUCUAAGGGAAAAUAGGCCAAGGUUUCUAGACGCGUUAGUGUUUGUGUUCUUUUAUAUUAGUUGCAUCUCUUUAAAGGUAGGUGAACUGCUAGACCCAACUAAGUGUGUCGUUGCUUUUUCCAUGUGAAGGUUUGGAGAAUGGUUUUGGAGCUAAAACACCUGAUUCAUUUCGUUGAUAAGUAUACCUUUCAUUGUCAUCAAUAACUGUUAUCUGGACGGGCUUUUUUCCAUCAGCUUUAGAUAGUGUUUGAAUAGGGUACCUGAUUUGUUUUCUGGUUAAUGUUUGCCAUGGUAAGAGGUUGUGGUGCUUGGCCUUUCUGAGACAACAGGUCCAAGAUCCUACUAAUGUAUCCCUGAAUCUCGAUAAAUUGGCCUCUAUUCUCUGUUGUUGCUCAGUAAACUUCACAUCAAUGCUUUCUUUCUGCUUUUCCUAUCAAUUUGGAUUAAUGUUUUCAUCCUGCAAUAUUUCCAAUUGUUUUUUUCCAGCUGUUCCUGGAGUUGCUACAUCUCGGUACCAUCAGAACCAAAUAUGACAAUGGCCUUCCUCAGCUUUCCCAGCUCGAACCAAUAGAUCUUUCGGUAGCCUUAAUACCAAAUUAUUAUAACCCACUCGUUUGUGUACUGAAAUUACUGAAGAAAUUAGAGGUUUAAGGAGAAUAGAAGAAGAUGGAGAAGAGAAGAGUUAUCAUUCAGGAUAGAGAAACAAUUGUUACAGCAACCCUUAUACAUGAAAUUGUUGUAACAAAUUUGUAAUCAAAUUGUACUAUCAUUAUUUUUA